UACUCAUUAGGACCUGCCAGGUGAGUGGUCUGUUGUUUACUCAUUAGGACCUGACAGGUGAGUGGUCUGUUGUUUACUCAUUAGGACCUGCCAGGUGAGUGGUCUGUUGUUUACUCAUUUAUAUGAAGGGCAUUAGUCAGUCGUGCUUUAAAUGCAUGUUGUUGCGUAUUAGUGCACGUUAGAGGAUGAGCUCUGCUUUGACAAUGAAGUCAUGAAUAAGAUUUGAACUCAUGAAGACCGUCAGCUAUGACGAUGAAUGAAUGAAAAGGUGAGCUGUGAAUAUGAUGAACACGGUCUGUUGUUAUGACGACACGAUGAAGACGAGCUCUGACUUUAAACUAAUACGAUCUGUAAUGACGAGGAAUUACUUUUUAAAAACUCAGCUAGGACUAUGAACUGAUGAAUAAGAUCAACAAUGAAUCGGAAAUAUGGAAUCAAUAUGUUUAUUAUUAUGAUCUAUAUAAUACAGUCUGUGAUGACUAUGGCCAGCAAUUAUAUGAACUGAUGAAUAAGUUCAGCUCUGAAGAUGAACGAGAGACUAACGUCUGUUACUAUGAACUAUAAUGAAUCAGGUCUCCUAUGACUAUGAACUAAUGCAUAUAAUGUUAUGACUUUAAACUGAUGACAAAGGUCUGUUAUGACUAUGAAUUUAUGAAUGCUGUUAUGACUUUAAACUGAUGACAAAGGUCUGUUAUGACUAUGAACUACGCGGAAUAAGGUCAGCUAGAACUAUGAAAUAUGGAAUAAAUACUUGUAUUACUCUGAACUAUUAAAUAAGGUAUAUUGUCAGCUAUGACUAUGAACUGAUGAAUAGGUUCAGCUAUGAUGAUGCAUUUGUUAUUAAUGUCUGCUUUGACUAUGAGCUAAUGAAUAUAAUGUUAUGACUAUAAAAAAAUGAAUACAAUGUUAUGACUAUAAAUGAAUGAAUACAAUGUUAUGAAUAUAAAUGAAUGAAUACUGUUUGCUAUGACAAAAAGCAAUUAAAUUCAGUUUAUUUUGCAUAGCCCAAAAUCACAAAUUACAAACUCCCCUCAGUCUGUAGACAUACGACCUCCCUGACCUUUGACCUCACAUCGGAUCAGGAUCACCCUGGAGAGCAGCAGAGGAAGAUCCCUCUCCAGGAUGGACAGAAGCUGUAUCAACGUUAAACUGCAAUCGGGUUCAUCCACAAAGACCAGGACCCCCACGGAGCCUCACAUCCUUUUAUUUUCUUAUUAGAAUAUACUGACAAUUUUAUAUUAUAAUAUUAAAUAAUAUUUUAAAGUA